AAACGACUCUUGGCAACGGAUAUCUCGGCUCUUGCAUCGAUGAAGAACGUAGCGAAAUGCGAUACUUGGUGUGAAUUGCAGAAUCCCGUGAAUCAUCGAGUCUUUGAACGCAAGUUGCGCCCGACGCCUUUUGGCCGAGGGCACGUCUGCCUGGGCGUCAUGA
rnacentral:rRNA from 1 species